CAGUAGCCGCGGGAAUACGGAGGGUGCAAGCGUUAUCCGGAUUCACUGGGUCUAAAGGGUGCGUAGGCGGGCAGGUAAGUCAGUGGUGAAAUCUUCGAGCUUAACUCGGAAACUGCCGUUGAUACUAUCUGUCUUGAAUAACGUUGAGGUGAGCGGAAUAUGUCAUGUAGCGGUGAAAUGCUUAGAUAUGACAUAGAACACCGAUUGCGAAGGCAGCUCACUAAACGCUCAUUGACGCUGAGGCACGAAAGCGUGGGGAUCAAACAGGAUUAGAUACCCCUGUAGUCCCUGUCUCUUAUAC
rnacentral:rRNA from 1 species